GCCUCCGUAGCUCAGGGGAUAGAGCACCGCUCUCCUAAAGCGGGUGUCGCAGGUUCGAAUCCUGCCGGGGGCGCC
rnacentral:tRNA from 1 species